rnacentral:rRNA from 1 species
UACGUAUGGAGCAAGUGUUAUCCGGAUUUACUGGGUGUAAAGGGAGUGUAGGUGGCCAUGCAAGUCAGAAGUGAAAAUCCGGGGCUCAACCCCGGAACUGCUUUUGAAACUGUAAGGCUGGAGUGCAGGAGGGGUGAGUGGAAUUCCUAGUGUAGCGGUGAAAUGCGUAGAUAUUAGGAGGAACACCAGUGGCGAAGGCGGCUCACUGGACUGUAACUGACACUGAGGCUCGAAAGCGUGGGGAGCAAACAGG